AGACGUUGUAGAACUACAACUCCCAUGAUGCCUUUUCAUUCAAAAGGCAUGAAAAGCAUCAUGGAAGUUGUAGUUCUACAACA